GACGAACGCGGCGGCGUGCCUAAUACAUGCAAGUAGAACGCUGAAGGAGGAGCUUGCUCUUCUGGAUGAGUUGCGAACGGGUGAGUAACGCGUAGGUAACCUGCCUGGUAGCGGGGGAUAACUAUUGGAAACGAUAGCUAAUACCGCAUAAUAGUAGAUGUUGCAUGACAUUUGCUUAAAAGGUGCAAUUGCAUCACUACCAGAUGGACCUGCGUUGUAUUAGCUAGUUGGUGGGGUAACGGCUCACCAAGGCGACGAUACAUAGCCGACCUGAGAGGGUGAUCGGCCACACUGGGACUGAGACACGGCCCAGACUCCUACGGGAGGCAGCAGUAGGGAAUCUUCGGCAAUGGACGGAAGUCUGACCGAGCAACGCCGCGUGAGUGAAGAAGGUUUUCGGAUUGUAAAGCUCUGUUGUAAGAGAAGAACGAGUGUGAGAGUGGAAAGUUCACACUGUGACG
rnacentral:rRNA from 1 species